rnacentral:misc_RNA from 1 species
AACCAAUGCCAGCUAAAUAGCAGAGCUCAGGUCAAGAAUUCUCCAUCUUCAAUUCCAUUCUCUUCCUGCUUCCUGCCUCCUCCCAUGAUGCAGAGAUGGAGCAGAAAGAAAUCCCAUUUUCCUUUGGCGGUAUUUGUCUUGCUCGUCUUCAUAACUUGUUCAAUUCUUUAUAACGAAACUAGCAUUAAACAAAUCCAUGAACACCCAG